GGGCCAGACACAGGCCUCUCCAGGGAGCCCCCGCCGGGGUCCUCCCCAGGAUCCAGCAUCUCUCCUGGGGGCAGAGAAGCAACUCUAGCCCCCGGUCUCUGGAAGCUCACGAGCUAAGGAACCAGCAACCUCACACCUCGCUGUCAGGGAGCAGAAUGGCAGU